CCCCACCACAUUCUUGACUUGCAGACAAUAGUCUCAGACCUUAAUAGCAUGUGUGUGUGAGAAACGUCAUCAUUCUUGUAGUUUAGAUUAUCAUUUGUAUUUUUAAAAACUCUAAUUUUAAUAAGCAUAUUAAAUCCAUUGUGUUAGAUUUUCUGAAAUAAAUAGGAGGAUUAGUACUUACGAUUCAUGUGGAAGUUUUGUUUAUUUUUAUUGUAAUAUUUUAAUUUUCUUUUUGGUGCGUGUAGAGAUGUGUACACAAAUAAGCGUGGGCAGGCAGGCAGGGGAGCAAGAGUGUAUGGAGUGAACCCAACUAACGAGAGUUUUGUCCAAUAGUGAAACGCUGUGGAAGUGGGAUAUAUGCUUUGUAGGCACAAAAUCAAAUUGAAAAUUGAAAUGCAGCAGACAGUGGACACGUGGCACUCCC
rnacentral:lncRNA from 1 species